UCUCCUUGUAGCUCAGUGGUUAGAGCACCCGACUGGUGUGCGGAAGGUCAUAGGUUCGACUCCUGUUGGGAGAA
rnacentral:tRNA from 1 species